rnacentral:hammerhead_ribozyme from 1 species
GUACUUCUGAAGAGCCCCAAACAAGGGCGAAACAGCUGUCUAGUAC